ACAAGGCACAGCUCCUGAGAAAACUAAUCACCUAGUUUCUUGACUGUGGCUGUGACUGAAUAUCACACAGGCUAGAGCUUAAGUAGCAAACAUUUGCUUUCUCUCUGUUCUGGAGACUGUAAUCCAGGGACAAGGGACUGGCAUGGCUAUGGCCAGGUGAGGACCCACUUUCUGAGGGGCAGAUGGUGGAUUCUGGUUGUUCCUUUGUGUGAUGGGCUGGGAGACAGAGGAAGACAGACACCAAGGAAGCGCCCUCUGGCAUAAACAAUGGGGGAGCAGUUUACAGUAACUGAUGAAGCUUGGAUGGUGAUGCUGAAGGAAGGAAGACAUGGCAGACAGGACUAGAAAACGGUGUGGGAUUAAAGCAACAGAACCAAGGAGGAUCAGGAGACAGAGGAUGCCGUGCGCAACAAGUCAUGACUAAUGUCAAGAAGGUUAAUGGAAUCAUUGGAGCUCUGGGUUUUAAUGACAGGUUCCCUGAGCCCACAACACAGCAUGCCUGUCACAGAAGUGAUCAGUUUUCACAGAAGAGACAGAUCAUCUCCUCAUAAGACCAACAUGGUUUCAAAUGCUGAGGACGGGGUCGGGGUUAUUAUGGGAUAAAGACAUAGAGGCCUGAGGUAAGGGUGAGGAGAAUCACUGUGGAUCAGUGGUCAGCACACUCCAAGUCAAGGCUUAUGGCUUUUUAC
rnacentral:lncRNA from 1 species